ensembl:lncRNA
GAUCUAGCAGCAGUUUUUGGACUGGAUACAUACUGUAGUGAAGCAGAAUUCAAUAACAGUUAAUAAUAACAUAAGAGUAAUAAUUUAAAAAAAAUGGCUGAAAAUGUAGUCACUCUCAGGCCAUCCAAGAUAAGUUUGUUUCUUCACUUCACAAGAUGUUAAUUAAUGGACUGGAGUGGUGUUGAAUAAAGGUUUUUUUUUUUGUUAGCAGUUUGGACUCUCAUUCUAACGGCACCCAUUCACUGCAUAGGAUUCAUUGGUGAGCAUUUGAUGUCAUGCUACAUUUCUCUAAAUCUGUUCCAAUGAGGAAACAAACUCAUCUACAUUUUGGAUGUCCUAAGGCUGCGGUGUAAGGUCAUUUUCGUGGAUAUAUGACAUCAGUUCACCUCAAGUUCACACAAGCUGUGUCCAAAAGCUGAAAAAUAGAGGGCAACAGCGGGUCAAAUUGCUCCUGGGCCUCAAUCAUCUUCAUCAUCAUUUACUGAUCAUCUUCCUUUGGUCAUUUUCCAGCAUGAUCUUUCCAGAACCUGAUCCCCAACUAUUUUACAACAGAGUAAACCAUAUUAUUAUAGGAUUAAUGAUGCAAAUCUUGGAUUGCAAGAAGUGCACAGAGCAUAAAAGACAAUUAAAAGCCAUCAUUAAAGAGGCCAGAAAUUCCAAGUUGGUAUGGUUCGUGGUUUAACACUCCCCAUGCAGUAAAUAUGCCUUGAACUUAGUGCCAAAUUCAGUCAUUUGUGGAUAAUAUCCACACAAACAAUCCCCAUGUACAUCCUCUGACUCAUCGUGAGAUCAGCAACAACUCUGAAAGCUCUUAAUAGAACUUUAUAAUAAUAAUACUACAUUUCCUGUCUCAUGUGUGUCAUUGAGGUUAACAUUAUUUUAAUUUAUGGCCACGCUUCAGUUGGGGGACCAAUUCUCACCAUUGACUUCCUAUUAACUGCAAAUUUUGGAUCAAUAAACCCUACUUUGCUGAUGAUAAAUACUUAGUGAGGUAGCUGUUAAGCAGUAACUACUUAAAUCUAAAUGCAACUGUAAUCUGUUACAGUUACUAAGAAAAAAAAAAUGUGUAAAUAAAUUAUGUUUACUUAUGAAAAUGUUAACGAUUACAAAGGAGUAAAAUGCUAAGAUAUGUUGAAUAAUAUUAAUUUGUUGCUUUGCCUGUUUUUGAUGUUCACAAUGCCUCCUGCCAUUUAAAGAGAUUUGCAGUUCAAAACAUCUGCCAGUUACUGUGCAUGAAUCCACAUUGUCGCUGAGAGCUUUAAGCCAUAACCUGUCUGAGAGUUGAUUAACUGAUUAUAAGUUGAAAACAUUUGUUAGACAUUUAGAAAAGUAAUCAAAUGUAAUCAGUUACAUUACUUUAAUAAAGUAAUUUAACUACUUACACUACUUAAUUACAUUUUAAAUAGGGUAACUUGUAAUCUUUAACUUAUUACAUUUCCAAAGUAACCUUCCCAACACUGUUGUUAAAUUAAGUAUGUGUAGGAUUAAGUGAUUUAUAAUAUGGUCCCGCAGAAUAAGGCAUUAAUGUGCAUUUAAUAAGUACUAAUAAAAAGCAAGUAUACAUGCUAAUAGGCAACUAGUUAAUAGUGAGAACUGGUCCUUGAAAUAAAGAACUAAAGAAUUUAUAAAAUUUACCACAGUAAAUAAUAAGUACAGGCAUGAGUAGAGUUUUGGAUAACAACUGUCUUCAAUGCAGAGUCUUCCAUUUCCAAACUGAAUUAAUCAAAAAAUCUAAAGCUUUGACUUUGCAGUAUAUAGAGAACAGCAUUAAAAAGAAGUGAAUUUCACUUUCAGGUCUGACGCAGUGAACAUGUGACAUGACAAUAUGACAAUAGGCAUAUGUUUUUCAUUUUAAAAGAACUUGCUAAGUGUCAGCUCACCAGAAUUACCCAUCCAAAGACAAUUUAAGAUGGUCCAAAUGAAUCAGAGCUGUUCUUUUUUUCAUUCUCUUAUUAUCAGUAUUUACUUUUUUAUCUCUAUUUGAUUUUCUACUGCUUUUAUCGCUAAUUAAAUAGGGAAUUAUGUUUAUGUUUUCAGAAUUAAUGUAGUGAAUACUAAACUGAAAUAUGUUUCAUUCAAAAAAUUAUAUAAAAAAAAUUAUUUUGAAAUCUCUUACAUCCUUGUAUUAGCAACAUGCCUUAUUUGACAUGAAGUGCCAUCAGACAUGCUUUUCUCCCAAACAGACCUUGAGAUCAGUCAGUAAUUAAUGAUCCUCAUGGCAAGAACCAGCAUUAAACGAAGUGAACAAUUUCAGGACUGACAGAGAUUAUGAAACAAAAAUGAUUACGGUCAUUGUAAUAGAACAAUAAUAUCCUGCAUACUAAAGUAUUAAUGUGCUAGAUUAAAAUAGGCCCAUCCAUUAGAGCACUGAUUUUUCAUUUAAUCUUUAUGGGAAGGAAAUAAGAUUCAUAAUCCUUUGAUUUGCUAGGAAAUGGGAAGCAGAGGAAUAUCUUUUAAUAACCACAGUCUCCUUGACAGCCAAGUCAUGCAGUACGCAGAGCUGAGAACAGAGGAAAGCAGAAAGCAACUAUUGUUACUGCAUGGCAAAUAUUUGCAGAGUGGUUUGACAGUAAAGAUACAGAAAAACACAUAAAAAUGGCAUAUUUGUUUUUGUGAAAUUGUGAGGGGGAAAAAAAUGUUUUUGAGCAUUCUACAAAGAAUUUGGAUUAAGUGAGCCUCCCUUGUUCACUGUGUUGCCAUGACAUAGUUCUCAUUUGUUAAUUCAGCGUGACACAAUUUUUUUUAGAACAGAUUGACCUUUGAACUUUAUUUAAAUUCAAGAUGCAAGAUUCAAGAUUCAAGAUUUUUAUUUGUCACAUACAUGGUAUGGAGAGCAUAUGACCAGCAGUGAAAUGUAAGUCAGGUCCGCUCCAUGGACAGUGCAAUUAUUAAAGAACACAAACACAAGAAAAUUAUACAAAAUAUAUAUAUAUAUAUAUAUAUAUAUAUAUAUAUAUAUAUAUAUAUAUAUAUAUAUAUGAUAUGAUAUAGAAAAAGUAAGAUAAAAAAAUAAGAAUAAAAUAAGAUGCUUAUAGAAAAAAAAUGUGCAGGACAGUAUACUAUAGACUUAAUAAAUAUUAAGAUGAGCAGGAAUGUACAAGAGGAGAAUGUGCAAACAGGUUGUACAGGAUAUUUACAUAGCAGCAAUAGAGGUAAUAAAGUAAAUAUAUAAAAAUAAAAAUUAUAGAAAUUGCUGUGUGCAAGUGUGAAUGUCAGUAUAUUCAGUAUCUUACUGAUAAUUAAGUGAUGUCAUGAAGAGGUUAAGAGACUGAGUUAGAGUUUAGGAGCCUGAUGGCCUGGGGGAAGGAGCUCCUCCUAAGUCUCUCAGUUUUUGCCAUCAGGCUGCGGAAGCGCUUUCCAGAUCGCAGCAAAAUGAAAAGAGAGUUACCAGGGUGAUUUGUGUCCUUAAUGAUUUUAACAGCUCUGCUUUUGCAGCGUUUGAGGUAGAUGUCCUGCAGAU